CCUUAUUGCUGGUCAUUUUGACACUUUCAAUAUUGUAUAUCAACUGUGCUAGAAUACAAACAAUAUAAAUGUAGUAGAUUGGUUAUUGAAUGAUUAAAGAGAAUCUAAUUUUUCAUAGUUUUUGCAUUUAGAGAUGGUUGAUACACCUUAACAUCACUGGAAGUGUGUACAUGUUAGAAUUGAACACACUUUUAUAUAUGGAAAUGAUGGUUUACAUACCAAAUACUUAGAAACCCUGAUGUUUCACCGCCUGGGAAUUGUUUUUAUCUGCAUCUGCCAGCUGAGAAGUGCUACUGUGCUAGAAUAAUAUAGCACAUGCUAACUUGUGAAGGGAUGUUUACUGGUGGAAAGUGGAAAAAGCAGAAAUGAAUGGUGAAGUGAUACCAGCGGUUAAGGAGCCCCCAUUUGAUGGCUAAGCACUUCCAUGCUGACUGCUUGCAACUGAACUCUCAUCACCCUCUAUCUCAUGCAGCAGGAAAGUCCCUAACUGCCUGCCUGACUUGUCUGUGGAAAAUAAAGGAGGAGAAGAAUUUAGGGGAUAUUUGUAUUAAUAGCAAGGAAUGCUUCCUUGCAUGACUUUGCAUCUGCAAUGUCCAGUGAGAUAGGACUGUGAAUCUGAAGAAAAGCCUCACCAACCAAACUGUAAAAAUGACCUCAUCUAUUUUUUUUGUACUUCAGUUGGAGGGGAAACUGCAGUCACCAUAGGUUUUUGCUGUGCAGCCAUAAUGGGCUACGCUCUGCAGUCACCAUAGGUUUUUGCUGUGCAGCCAUGAUGGGCUACACUCUGCAGUCACCAUAGGUUUUUGCUGUGCAGCCAUAUUGGGCUACACUCUGCAGUCACCAUAGGUUUUUGCUGUGCAGCCAUGAUGGGCUACACUCUGCAGUCACCAUAGGUUUUUGCUGUGCAGCCAUGAUGGGCUACACUCUGCAGUCACCAUAGGUUUUUGCUGUGCAGCCAUGAUGGGCUACACUCUGCAGUCACCAUAGGUUUUUGCUGUGCAGCCAUAUUGGGCUACACUCUGCAGUCACCAUAGGUUUUUUGCUUUCCAGCCAUAAUGGACUACCCUCUGUCAGAGGAACCCUAGAUGCUGACCCUCACACUUUAGCAAUAAGCCCCCUGGAAAUGCCACCAUACUACCAUUAUUAGGGCGGGGACCUUGACAGGGCUUGAAACUAGAAGACUAGGUUUAGGCUCCAGUGUUGCCAGGGUAGAUUUUUUUCAAUUCUAUUUGUACAGGCAAAGAAGAAAUCUGUGUCACUGGAGGCAGUGUGAUAUUUACUUUGGCGGUCAGUAGACAAAGUCGUUCAAAUUAUGCUCUCUAGCUGUAGCCACUGUCUGCUGGAAUCCAGGGGUAAAAGCAUAUUGUUAAGGUUGCAGAAUGUCUUCUGGUGGAAUUUUACUGACUGGCAUACUCUCUCCAACACCACCCUCUUCAGAGUGUCGUCUGGCACAGUUGCAAGUAGGCAUAUGGGAUUCUAUUGCCAUGGGUAAUAAAAAGUGGAUGGAACAUUCCUCCACCAGUCACUUACAUGCAGAAGCCAUCCUCAUAAACAUCUUGACGGAAGCUUCUGGGUUGUUUUCAGGACCUAUUUUCAGAAUUUGGAUCAGCACAGGUGGCAGGGAGGUGGGUAGUGGGAAUUAGGCAAGCAGUUCCUGAAUGUCAGCUCACUCCUCAGUCUGGAACUCCAGAAAUGUGUGCAGAGUGUCUUAUUGUUACAUUCUCAGGUGCAGAAGCCUGAUGCUAGACAGAUUGCAGGGUGACUAGGUAUAUGAGCAAAGCAGUUCUGAGCCCUGUGAACAACUGAAUUCCUCCAGGCAAGAUGGUGAACAGAAAGAAAUGACACAGGGAUAAAAGUAGGGAAUGGGAACAUUACUUAGGGGACAGAAGUGGAAACAGGCUUGACAAAUGUAGCAUGAAGAUUAAAGAUGGUCAAUUCAGAAAGGUACAAAAGAAAAGAGGACAUGGCAGUGGGGUCAGAUAUUAGGGUCUUUGCAAGAGGUAACAGGAAAGAAAACUCAGUCAUAUAUCAUGAUUGUCAAUCAGUAAGAAGUGACAGUGAGAAAAUCUCCCUGCGCCAAAUGAGUUAAUCAUCUAACCUUACCUUGAUAGGAAAUGAUUCUUCUGCCCAUCCAAGCCAAUUUUACAAAAGUAUUAUCAUAUUUUCAUAAUAUUGUGAUAAUAUGAUAUUAUUUAUCAUAUUAUGUUUUGCCCUUUAUAACAUCAUAGUAUUUUAUAAUGUGUCGUAGUAUUUAUAUUGCAUACCCUAAAUCAGUAAGACUAGUCACUUUUUGGUUUCCCAUAAGGGGCUAUACAGUAUGUAGCUUACGGGGUUAGGGCUGUGAACAGACAGGCUGGGGUUCGAAUUUUGUGGAUGGCAGAAUAAUCAUAUCACAAUUUCCUGAAUUGUACAUCACUUUGGUACUGAAUAUAUUUUUGAUCCAUAAACAAUAAUUAUUUUAAUUUUAUGAUAUGUGUAUGGCUGCUUUGGCUCUGGAGUAUACAGCUAAUUUAAGUACUUUAUAAUGUUUAAAAAUUUUGUUCUUAUUUCAAU